UACGUAGGGUGCGAGCGUUGUCCGGAAUUAUUGGGCGUAAAGAGCUUGUAGGCGGUUUGUCGCGUCUGCCGUGAAAUUUCGAGGCUCAACCUCGAACUUGCGGUGGGUACGGGCAGACUAGAGUGUGGUAGGGGAGACUGGAAUUCCUGGUGUAGCGGUGAAAUGCGCAGAUAUCAGGAGGAACACCGAUGGCGAAGGCAGGUCUCUGGGCCACUACUGACGCUGAGGAGCGAAAGCGUGGGGAGCGAACGGG
rnacentral:rRNA from 1 species